rnacentral:rRNA from 1 species
UACAGAGGUCCCAAGCGUUGUUCGGAUUCACUGGGCGUAAAGGGUGCGUAGGUGGCGAGGUAAGUCGGAUGUGAAAGCUCGGAGCUCAACUCCGAAAUGGCAUUGGAAACUACCUUGCUCGAGGGUUGGAGGGGGGACUGGAAUGCUUGGUGUAGCAGUGAAAUGCGUAGAUAUCAAGCGGAACAUCAGUGGCGAAGGCGAGUCCCUGGACAACUCCUGACACUGAGGCACGAAAGCUAGGGGAGCAAACAGG